UUUUUUGUGUUGACGUCUUUA
rnacentral:piRNA from 1 species